rnacentral:rRNA from 1 species
UACGGAGGAUGCGAGCGUUAUCCGGAUUUAUUGGGUUUAAAGGGUGCGUAGGCGGGCUUUUAAGUCAGCGGUAAAAAUUCGGGGCUCAACCCCGUCCGGCCGUUGAAACUGGGGGCCUUGAGUGGGCGAGAAGAAGGCGGAAUGCGUGGUGUAGCAGUGAAAUGCAUAGAUAUCACGCAGAACCCCGAUUGCGAAGGCAGCCUUCCGGCGCCCUACUGACGCUGAGGCACGAAAGUGCGGGGAUCGAACAGG